GAUGAACGCUGGCGGCGUGCCUAAUACAUGCAAGUCGAGCGAACAGACGAGGAGCUUGCUCCUCUGACGUUAGCGGCGGACGGGUGAGUAACACGUGGAUAACCUACCUAUAAGACUGGGAUAACUUCGGGAAACCGGAGCUAAUACCGGAUAAUAUAUUGAACCGCAUGGUUCAAUAGUGAAAGACGGUUUUGCUGUCACUUAUAGAUGGAUCCGCGCCGCAUUAGCUAGUUGGUAAGGUAACGGCUUACCAAGGCAACGAUGCGUAGCCGACCUGAGAGGGUGAUCGGCCACACUGGAACUGAGGCACGGUCCAGACUCCUACGGGAGGCAGCAGUAGGGAAUCUUCCGCAAUGGGCGAAAGCCUGACGGAGCAACGCCGCGUGAGUGAUGAAGGUCUUCGGGUCGUAAAACUCUGUUAUUAGGGAAGAACAAAUGUGUAAGUAACUAUGCACGUCUUGACGGUACCUAAUCAGAAAGCCACGGCUAACUACGUG
rnacentral:rRNA from 1 species